UUUAACAUUUCCAAUAAUAUUUAAUUAUAUUUACUACAUUUAUAUUAUGUUUCACGCAGGUAAUGUUACACUUUAAGAUAAUACCGAGUGAGUGCGUAUGGUGAAGAGAACACAAUAAAAACGUCAACCCGAACGUUUGACAGUUAUUUUCUAUUAUUAUUUAUGGAUAAUCCUAUAUCGCUAUUAUAAAUCUACUAAAAAUUAUACCCGACGUUAGG